AUUUCUAAGGGUAAGAACUCUAUAUUUACAGCUAUAUAUAUAUAUACCACUAAUGUAGUAGUUUUUGAUACCAAACAAAAUAAUUGAUCACCAAUAAACAGUUAAUUGUGUAAAAGCUUCUACUUAAUCCAAGAAUAGAUGUGGGUGAAAUAACGUGUACAAGACUUUGCCCAGACAUACAGAAAGACAGACUGACCGAGUAAGCUGAUAUAAGCUUCAAACAAAGCUAAAACACAUGACACCAUAAGCCUUUUAGAUCGUAUGGUCUCAAAAAGAAACUUUAAUUUACUUUUACUAUAAUUCACUACCUGCAGUAAGGUAAAAUAAGGUUUCCCUUUCAGGCCUUGCGGUCUAUAGGGAAGAUGAUGUAAAAGCAAUCUGUUUCUGUGGACUGCGGAUGACGAGGGUGUCAUGUGGCCAGCACA